CCUGUCUCUGCAUUCAGUUUUUGGAUUAUAAUGACAAACUAUCAGCAUUUUAUGGGGGUGCUGGGGAUGGAACCCAAACCCUCACAUCCGUGGGCAGACACUUUACAGACUGAACUAUCUUUUUUCUCUUUACAGGUGACAAAAACAGAUUUCGAGGAAAUAUCUUGAGAUUUGCUCAUCAUUCAAAGGGCAAAAGGUCCCCAGGAAAGUCCUGAGGUGAAAGAGUUACAAAUGGAGGAGGUGUAAGACUCCCUGUGUUAAAGCAUCUUUUACAGAACUUGACAUUGCUUCUCUGGGAAGGGAAGCUUUUUCUACUGAAGAGGUACCUGCAGAGCCUUGUCCAACCCCCUGUACUGUGUCAGACUGUUCAGCUGAGCAUCAGUGUUACCAGAAAAGGGUCUGUGGUCAACAGAGCAAGAAUACAUUCUACCCAGGAGACAGGAUCAGGGUCAAGCUCAUAGGAACUGUUGCUUGGGUCUGGUGGCGUCGUGAGUGAGAGAAAUGUAAAGGCAAGCUGACCUGACAAAGGAAAGGACAAAAAAAAGAUUUCCUACUAACUUUUAUGUGCAUUCGUAUUUGUGUGUGCACAUGGCAGGAUGGAAGCAGACAGAUUUGGAGGAUCCAGAAGACCCCUCGGGUGCUGUAUUGUAUGCCUUGCUUUUU
rnacentral:lncRNA from 1 species